GGGGGCGUAGUGAGAACGAUAACACGGCUGGUCUGCACCCAGCAGAUGAGAGUUUGAAUCUCUCCGCCUCCA
rnacentral:tRNA from 1 species